rnacentral:rRNA from 1 species
UACGGAGGGUGCAAGCGUUAAUCGGAAUUACUGGGCGUAAAGCGCACGCAGGUGGCUGAGUCAGUCGAUUGUGAAAGCCCUGGGCUUAACCUGGGAAUUGCAGUCGAUACUACUCAGCUAGAGUAUGGGAGAGGGCAGUGGAAUUCCCGGUGUAGCGGUGAAAUGCGUAGAUAUCGGGAGGAAUGACCGGUGGCGAAGGCGGCAUCCUGGACCGACAUUGACGCUGAACGGCGAAAGCUAGGGGAGCAAACGGG